CUUGUGGACUGUUCUACCAAAUGGGAGUAGUCUUUAUAUCUCGAUACAAAAACAAAACCAGACAGGAUGAAGCAAGAA
rnacentral:sRNA from 12 species